rnacentral:rRNA from 1 species
CGCGUAGGUGGUUUUGUAAGACAGGCGUGAAAUCCCCGGGCUCAACCUGGGAAUUGCGCUUGUGACUGCAAGGCUGGAGUGCGGCAGAGGGGGAUGGAAUUCCGCGUGUAGCAGUGAAAUGCGUAGAUAUGCGGAGGAACACCGAUGGCGAAGGCAAUCCCCUGGGCCUGCACUGACGCUCAUGCACGAAAGCGUGGGGAGCAAACAGGAUUAGAUACCCUGGUA